AAUAAAUCAGUUGGAAGUGGGCGCCAGUCUAUGUCGUUUGUGUGUCUUCUCUUGUCUUUGUGCCAUUGCGCUGCACAAACUCAGUAUA
rnacentral:lncRNA from 1 species